CCCUUAGAUGUUCUGGGCUGCACGCGCGCUACACUGAUGCGCUCAACGAGUUUAUGACCUUGCCCGGAAGGGUUGGGUAAUCUUUUCAAAACGCAUCGUGAUGGGGAUAGAUUAUUGCAAUUAUUAAUCUUCAACGAGGAAUUCCUAGUAAGCGCGAGUCAUCAGCUCGUGCUGAUUACGUCCCUGCCCUUUGUACACACCGCCCGUCGCUCCUACCGAUUGAUUGAUCCGGUGAAUUACAUAGAAUUUUGCGUUUUACAUGACGGAAGAUGAAGUGUUUUAAACCUUAUCAUUUAGAGGAAGGAGAAGUCGUAACA
rnacentral:rRNA from 1 species